UGAUUUUUUCUUCCUGAUUGGUGCGGUCUGCUUUGAUUUUUGGGAUUGUGAUCAUUCUUCUAUUUUCGUGAUAUUUGAUUGAUCUACUUCCAUAUUCUUGAAUUGUUUUUCCAUUCCAUUUGCCAUGCCGUGAUCUUCCAUAUCUGCUAAUUUUGAAAUGAUUUUCCAUGACAUUUGGAGCUGAGAUCCUUAUUUCAUU
rnacentral:lncRNA from 1 species